AUUGAACGCUGGCGGCAGGCCUAACACAUGCAAGUCGAGCGGAUGAAGGGAGCUUGCUCCUGGAUUCAGCGGCGGACGGGUGAGUAAUGCCUAGGAAUCUGCCUGGUAGUGGGGGAUAACGUCCGGAAACGGGCGCUAAUACCGCAUACGUCCUGAGGGAGAAAGUGGGGGAUCUUCGGACCUCACGCUAUCAGAUGAGCCUAGGUCAGAUUAGCUAGUUGGUGGGGUAAAGGCCUACCAAGGCGACGAUCCGUAACUGGUCUGAGAGGAUGAUCAGUCACACUGGAACUGAGACACGGUCCAGACUCCUACGGGAGGCAGCAGUGGGGAAUAUUGGACAAUGGGCGAAAGCCUGAUCCAGCCAUGCCGCGUGUGUGAAGAAGGUCUUCGAAUUGUAAAGCACUUUAAGUUGGGAGGAAGGGCAGUAAGUUAAUACCUUGCUGUUUUGACGUUACCAACAGAAUAAGCACCGGCUAACUUCGUG
rnacentral:rRNA from 1 species